rnacentral:rRNA from 1 species
UACGUAGGUGUCAAGCGUUGUCCGGAUUUAUUGGGCGUAAAGCGCCCGCAGGCGGCUUGCCAAGUUCGAUGUGAAAUCUCCCGGCUCAACUGGGAGGGUGCAUCGAAAACUGGCAGGCUUGAGGCAGGGAGAGGGAUGUGGAAUUCCAGGUGUAGUGGUGAAAUGCGUAGAUAUCCGGAGGAACACCAGUGGCGAAGGCGGCCGCCUGGACCUGACCUGACGCUGAGGCGCGAAGGCGUGGGGAGCGAACGGG